CAGCUUUGCUGAGGUGUCGGGUGUGUCAUACCCGCCCUGGUGACAUUCCCUGCCUCCAGCAGAACAAGCUAGG
rnacentral:miRNA from 1 species